UGAUAGCUGUGAAGCGUGAGGUUGCUGCAUAUGUUGCAGGUUUUCCGUGGAGCGAAUGUCAAGUUAGGAAACUGACGACAA
rnacentral:ncRNA from 1 species